rnacentral:rRNA from 1 species
GACGAACGCUGGCGGCGUGCCUAAUACAUGCAAGUCGAACGCAGUGGGGACGGGUGAGUAACACGUGGGUAACCUCCCAUCAGAGGGGAUAACACUUGGAAACAGGUGCUAAACCGAUACUGAUGGAUGGACCCGGGGUGCAUUAGCUAGUUGGUGAGGUAACGGCCCACCAAGGCCACGCUGCAUAGCCGACCUGGGAGGGUGAUCGGCCACCCGGGGACGUAGACACUGCCCAGACUCCUAGGGGAGGCAGCAGUAGGGAAUCUUCGGCAAUGGACGAAAGUCUGACCGAGCAACGCCGCGUGAGUGAAGAAGGUUUUCGGAUCGUAAAGCUCUGUUGUUAGAGAAGCGGUAUCUAACCAGAAAGCCACGGCUAACUACGUGCCAGCAGGCGGGGGAAUAC